GUUUGGCCCGUCAGAGGAACAGUCUCGCUGGUCAGAAGCGUUGGCUGGUGAACUCUGCCGUUAGACGCCGCGGUGACACGGGACAUAGGGACCCCAGUGCAAAGUCAGCAAUGAAGCAACUCGCUCUCCUGCUGCUCCUCUUCCCCUUGACCAGGGCGUCCCCUUGCGCUGGGGGCAGCUGUACCACUGACCUGAAACUCGCCAUCCGUGACCUGCUGGACAACUGGGAAGACUCGUCCUGCUCCCAGGGUGACCAGAACUCCCAGGGUCUGCACCGGAGCUGCAAGGAAAUUAAAUCCACUCAGGACGGAGCUG